rnacentral:rRNA from 1 species
UACGAAGGGGGCUAGCGUUGCUCGGAAUCACUGGGCGUAAAGGGUGCGUAGGCGGGUUUUUAAGUCAGGGGUGAAAUCCUGGAGCUCAACUCCAGAACUGCCUUUGAUACUGAAGAUCUUGAGUUCGGGAGAGGUGAGUGGAACUGCGAGUGUAGAGGUGAAAUUCGUAGAUAUUCGCAAGAACACCAGUGGCGAAGGCGGCUCACUGGCCCGAGUACUGACGCUGAGGCACGGAAAAGCGAUGGG